AGUGAACGCUGGCGGCAGGCCUAAUACAUGCAAGUCGAACGGCAGCACAGCAGAGCUUGCUCUCUGGGUGGCGAGUGGCGGACGGGUGAGGAAUACAUCGGAAUCUACCUCUUCGUGGGGGAUAACGUAGGGAAACUUACGCUAAUACCGCAUACGACCUACGGGUGAAAGUGGGGGACCGAAAGGCCUCACGCGAUUAGAUGAGCCGAUGUCCGAUUAGCUAGUUGGCGGGGUAAUGUCCCACCAAGGCGACGAUCGGUAGCUGGUCUGUGAGGAUGAUCAGCCACACUGGAACUGAGACACGGUCCAGACUCCUACGGGAGGCAGCAGUGGGGAAUAUUGGACAAUGGGCGCAAGCCUGAUCCAGCCAUACCGCGUGGGUGAAGAAGGCCUUCGGGUUGUAAAGCCCUUUUGUUGGGAAAGAAAUCCUAUCGGUUAAUAACCGGUGGGGAUGACGGUACCCAAAGAAUAAGCACCGGCUAACUUCGUGCCAGCCGCCGCCGUAAAAC
rnacentral:rRNA from 1 species